AUUCUGAGAGCCGCACAGUGACGAAACGCGGUUGUUUGAGAUCUUGCUGUGCUUAUUCAAUUAAUUCAUGUAUCAUAUCGUACAAGGUAUAAAUAAUUUAAAUAUAGGGGAGAGCGGGGUAAGUUGUCACAUGGUCAACUUCCUGUUCACAUGUGGUCAAGAUCGCUCUAAUCUGAGCACAUCAAUAAAAUAAAAUACAGACCUAAAUGGAUAACUUAGAA